rnacentral:tRNA from 1 species
GCCCGGGUGGCUCAGUAGGCUGAGCGUCUGACUCUUGAUCUCAGCUCAGGUCGUGGUCCCAGCAUCGUGGGAUCAAGCCCCGCACUGGGCU